AGAAUAGAGGGGAUAUAAUCAGCCAGUUGGAAAUAGACUUGUGGAACAGAGUUCGACUAACCCUAGGCAGCAAUUUGUACUUGGGUUUCCGAGAUUGGGUUUUAGGGAGCAGGAAUUUGGCGUUGCUUCGAUAUUUCUGUGUAUAUUAAUUUUGCAUCGAAAAAGCGUGGCAGGCCCAAGCUGUAUCUGCCAAAGAGGUUGCGGAGGAGCGCAGGGCACUGAAGCGACUGCGUAAUGCUGCUCAUCGGGACCCAGGAUUCACAACCGGGACAACUCCUACUGCAAUUUCUUAAGGUACUUCUAGCGGAGGGGUCGCUGCCCAAGCACUGAUAGCAUGUCUUAUUUAAAUCAAAUGGAAGGAACACUCAACACAUCUGUCAGAAAUACAGCCUAAAGAAAAAGGUUUUUUGUAAGUUUAGACAAUGCUUAAGUCCAUGCUAUUCACAACAUUUUCUUCCUUCUUGAGGAAAGGUCGAUCUCUUAGUGAAAAGAGGUAAAGGUCCAUAUGUAUUCCGUGUGUCCAGGAAAUAUAUUAUGUCUAAAGUUCUUCGAUCCCACGAGAAGGUUGAACCCCGAAAUAUGCACAGUUGUGCAUGUGUGAUGCACAACAUGCCAUUACUCAUCGACUUAACUUUCCGGCUACUGGCUGU